CCUACGGGGGGCAGCAGUGAGGAAUAUUGGUCAAUGGGCUUACGCCUGAACCAGCCAAGUCGCGUGAGGGAAGACUGCCCUAUGGGUUGUAAACCUCUUUUGUCAGGGAGCAACGCCGGCUACGUGUAGCCGGUCUGAGAGUACCUGAAGAUAAAGCAUCGGCUAACUCCGUGCCAGCAGCCGCGGUAAUACGGAGGAUGCGAGCGUUAUCCGGUUUUAUUGGGUUUAACGGGUGCGUAGGCGGAAUGCCAAGUCAGCGGUAAAGUCUGGGGGCUAAACCUCGCUUCGCCGUUGAAACUGGCGGUCGUGAGUGUGCGAGAAGUAUGCGGAAUGCGUGGUGUAGCGGUGAAAUGCAUAGAUAUCACGCAGAACUCCGAUUGCGAAGGCAGCAUACCGGCGCCCAACUGACGCUGAAGCACGAAAGCGUGGGUAUCGAACAGGAUUAGAUACCCUUGUAGUC
rnacentral:rRNA from 1 species